rnacentral:rRNA from 1 species
AGAGUUUGAUCCUGGCUCAGAACGUACGCUGGCGGCACGCCUAACACAUGCAAGUCGAACGAAGUAGCAAUACUUAGUGGCAGACGGGUGAGUAACAUGUAGGUAUCUACCCUUUGGCCUGGAAUAACACGAGGAAACUUGUGCUAAUACCGGAUAAGUCUUUACGGAGAAAGCUUUAUGCACCAUUGGAUGAGCCUGCACUUGAUUAGUUUGUUGGUAGGGUAAUGGCCUACCAAGACUGUGAUCAAUAGCUGAUUUGAGAGGAUGAUCAGCCACAUUGGGACUGAGACACGGCCCAAACUCCUACGGGAGGCAGCAGUGGGGAAUCUUGCACAAUGGAGGAAACUCUGAUGCAGCGAUGCCGCGUGAGUGAAGAAGGCCUUUGGGUUGUAAAGCUCUUUCGUCGGGGAAGAAAAUGACUGUACCCGAAUAAGAAGGUCCGGCUAACUUCGUGCCAGCAGCCGCGGUAAUACGAAGGGACCUAGCGUAGUUCGGAAUUACUGGGCUUAAAGAGUUCGUAGGUGGUUGAAAAAGUUAGUGGUGAAAUCCCAGAGCUUAACUCUGGAACUGCCAUUAAAACUUUUCGGCUAGAGUAUGAUAGAGGAAAGCAGAAUUUCUAGUGUAGAGGUGAAAUUCGUAGAUAUUAGAAAGAAUACCAAUUGCGAAGGCAGCUUUCUGGAUCAUUACUGACACUGAGGAACGAAAGCAUGGGUAGCGAAGAGGAUUAGAUACCCUCGUAGUCCAUGCCGUAAACGAUGUGUGUUAGACGUUGGAAAUUUAUUUUCAGUGUCGCAGCGAAAGCGAUAAUCACACCGCCUGGGGAGUACGACCGCAAGGUUAAAACUCAAAUGAAUUGACGGGGACCCGCACAAGUAGUGGAGCAUGUGGUUUAAUUCGAAGAUACGCGCAGAACCUUACCAACACUUGACAUGUUCGUCGCGACUCUAAGAGAUUAGAGUUUUCGGUUCGGCCGGACGAAACACAGGUGCUGCAUGGCUGUCGUCAGCUCGUGUCGUGAGAUGUUGGGUUAAGUCCCGCAACGAGCGCAACCCUCACUUUUAGUUGCCAUCAUUAAGUUGGGCACUCUGAAAGAACUGCCAGUGAUAAGCUGGAGGAAGGUGGGGAUGACGUCAAGUCCUCAUGGCCCUUACGUGUUGGGCUACACACGUGCUACAAUGGUAUCUACAACAGGAAGCAAGACUGCGAGGUCAAGCAAAUCCUUAAAAGAUACCUCAGUUCGGAUUGCACUCUGCAACUCGAGUGCAUGAAGCUGGAAUUACUAGUAAUCGUGGAUCAGCGUGCCACGGUGAAUGCGUUCCCGGGUCUUGUACACACCGCCCGUCACACCAUGGGAGUUGGUUCUACCUUAAGGCAAGGUUUAAAACCCUUGACCACGGUAUAGUCAGCGACUGGGGUG